GGAUCAAUGAGUUGGUCGUGCCCUUGGUAUGAACUGGCUUUAUUGGUUCUCACCUUCUAAUGAACCAUAAUGUCAUUCAUUUGAUGUUUUGGGGAAUUAGGACUGUUACCUUGAAAAAAUUAGAGUGUUUAAAGCAGGCUCACGCUUGAAUACAUUAGCAUGGAAUAAUGAAAUAGGACAUCGCAUUCUAUUUUGUUGGUUUCUAGGAUCGAUGUAAUGAUUAAUAGGGAUAGUUGGG
rnacentral:rRNA from 1 species